UACGUAGGGUGCAAGCGUUAAUCGGAAUUACUGGGAGUAAAGCGUGCGCAGGCGGUUCGGAAAGAAAGAUGUGAAAUCCCAGAGCUUAACUUUGGAACUGCAUUUUUAACUACCGGGCUAGAGUGUGUCAGAGGGAGGUGGAAUUCCGCGUGUAGCAGUGAAAUGCGUAGAUAUGCGGAGGAACACCGAUGGCGAAGGCAGCCUCCUGGGAUAACACUGACGCUCAUGCACGAAAGCGUGGGGAGCAAACAGG
rnacentral:rRNA from 1 species